rnacentral:rRNA from 1 species
UACGUAGGGUGCAAGCGUUAAUCGGAAUUACUGGGCGCAAAGCGUGCGCAGGCGGCUAUGCAAGACAGAUGUGAAAUCCCCGGGCUCAACCUGGGAACUGUAUUUGUGACUGCAUGGCUAGAGUACGGUAGAGGGGGAUGGAAUUCCGCGUGUAGCAGUGAAAUGCGUAGAUAUGCGGAGGAACACCGAUGGCGAAGGCAAUCCCCUGGACCUGUACUGACGCUCAUGCACGAAAGCGUGGGGAGCAAACAGG